rnacentral:misc_RNA from 1 species
GAAAUGCGAUAAGUAAUGUGAAUUGCAGAAUUCAGUGAAUCAUCGAAUCUUUGAACGCACCUUGCGCUCCUUGGUAUUCCUUGGAGCAUGCCUGUUUGAGUAUCAUGAAAUCUUCAAAGUAAAUCUUUUGUUAACUCAAUUGGUGUCUACUUUGGUAUUGGAGGUCUUUGCAGCUUCACACCUGCUCCUCUUUGUUCAUUAGCUGGAUCUCAGUGUUAUGCUUGGUUCCACUCGGCGUGAUAAGUUAUCUAUCGCUGAGGACACUGUAAAAGGUGGCCAAGGUAAAUGCAGAUGAACCGCUUCUAAUAGUCCAUUGACUUGGACAAUACUUUUAUGAUCUGAUCUCAAAUCAGGUAGGACUACCCGCUGAACUUAAGC